CUGUGGUGCCGAAACAAUGUUGUUUUGGUCAAUUUUUAUUUUCUUUUUCUUUUUCUUCUUCUUCUUUUCUUUUCCUCGUUGUCUUCUCUCUCCGAGGCAGGCUGAAAACCCUAACCCACCUGACAGAGCAAGAACAGAAAGAUGAAAUGAAAAAGAGGGAGAUGAAGGCAAGGCGAUGCAACGGUAAUGGAUUCUCAACCUCUAUUUGUUUUCUUGUUUGCAUUCACAGAGAUAAAAGAGGGACAACAACAAAAAGUUCUUAUUUAGGUAUUCAACUUUGGGGUUCUUUAAUUUCUAUGUGGAUUAGAUAUGAAGAUUGAAGCCUAUAGAGCUCUCAAUCUGUGUCUAUGAAGCAAAUUUAGCUUUGAUUUUGAUCCUAGGUUACCUAGAAAUUCGUGUAUGAAACUGUACAUGUGAGAGAUGGACCAAACUGUCGAACGUUCGCCAAAUGCACAGAGGGGUUUUCAAGUUCAAGCUCCAUUGAUUUUGGAUGUAGAAAGGGAAAAAUGAGAGAGGUAAAGAUGAAGAUAGAAAGAUAAAGCAAAGGCCAAAGAUUUUGACAGAGAUGAAAGAAAACACAAGGAUGAGGAAACAUUAAAGUGAGAGAAUUAAAUUGAAGGAACAAAUUUGGUUAGACUACUAAAGUGGCUCCUUUGGUUGGCAUGAAUAGUGACUUGAUUGCUCGCAAUGAAAUUGGAUCAAAAUGAAUGUAUUUAAAUUAAUAUGAAUGUUAUAGAUUAAUAUUUGAAAUGACAAUAUUGGUUGAAUAAAAUGAUAUACUGGUUGAUUGAAUGAAA